CGCCUGGGGAGUGCGGCCGCAAGGUUAAAACUCAAAUGAAUUGACGGGGGCCCGCACAAGCGGUGGAGCAUGUGGUUUAAUUCGACGCAACGCGAAGAACCUUACCUGGCCUUGACAUCCAGAGAGCUUUCCAGAGAUGGAUUGGUGCCUUCGGGAACUCUGAGACAGGUGCUGCAUGGCCGUCGUCAGCUCGUGUCGUGAGAUGUUGGGUUAAGUCCCGUAACGAGCGCAACCCCUAUCCCUGGUUGCUAGCAGGUAAUGCUGAGAACUCCAGGGAGACUGCCGGUGACAAACCGGAGGAAGGUGGGGAUGACGUCAGGUCAUCAUGGCCCUUACGGCCAGGGCUACACACGUGCUACAAUGGCGCGUACAGAGGGCUGCCAACUCGCGAGAGUGAGCCAAUCCCUUAAAACGCGUCGUAGUCCGGAUCGGAGUCUGCAACUCGACUCCGUGAAGUCGGAAUCGCUAGUAACCGCGAAUCAGAAUGUCGCGGUGAAUACGUUCCCGGGCCUUGUACACACCGCCCGUCACACCAUGGGAGUGGAUUGCACCAGAAGUAGUUAGUCUAACCUUCGGGAGGACGAUUACCACGGUGUGGUUCAUGACUGGGGUGAAGUCGUAACAAGGUAACCGUA
rnacentral:rRNA from 1 species